AACUUCUAGCAACGUAUCUCUUGGCUCUCGCAUCGAUGAAGAACGCAGCGAAAUGCGAUAAGUAAUGUGAAUUGCAGAUUUCAGUGAAUCAUCGAAUCUUUGAACGCACCUUGCGCCCUGUGGUAUUCCGCAGGGCAUGCCCGUUUGAGUAUCAUUAAAUCUUCAACCUCAAAACCUUUGUGUUUUCGAGGCUUGGUCUUGAGGGUGCUGCAGGCUUUUCUAAAGUCGGCUCCCUUUAAAUUCAUUAGCGAGACUUCCCUUUGUUUGAGCCAGUCUCAUUGGCAUGAUAGUUAUCUGUGUCAACGUCGGUUCUCGUUGGGCUUGCUUCUAAUCGUCUUCGGACAACAGGAUUUUGGGUGCAUAUAUAUGCGCACGAUUUCCAAACCUUUUUGAUCUCAAAUCGGGUAGGACUACCCGCUGAACUUAAGCAUAUCAAUAAGCGGAGGCU
rnacentral:misc_RNA from 1 species